UAAGGCAAUUAGUUAACUUGCAUGAAAACAUUUUCUAAUACAACUUUACAUUGUUGUUUUUAAACAGAUGAAACUAAAAUUUUAAGUUUAAUUACUGACUUCCAUUAAGUAGUAAUUUUAUGUGAAAUGUCUCAACCUUUGCUGGAUUAUGCAUAUGUCCUCCCAUUGCCACUCUACUACACUCCAUUGCUUUAAAAUUACUUUUAUAAAAUGACCUAGAUUUAGAGAAAUCAUUCACCCAGAAAAGAAUGCAUCACGGAACUCUGAAAUGUAGAGUAGGUUGAUCUUAGCGCACUGUUUAGAAUAAAACAGAAAGGUAUAGGCAAGAGUAACAGAUUUGGAUUUCAGUAUUGUGAAUUUUUGUUACAAAAAUAAAAUUACAAUUCAUAUUGAAUAUUGUAAAUAUCUCAGAAUUUAGAAAAACAAAUGGCUUUUUACAGAACAUUUUUUAUUAAAAACUGCUACAACCAUCCAAGCUAUGAACAAUAUGUGAAGACACGUUUCAUUCCCUAGAAUUAAGGUGAAAUCAAUAAUGUGGUGGCAGCAAGUAGCACAGAAG
rnacentral:lncRNA from 1 species